GGGAAAGGCUGAAAGAAGCCGAGGAGAAGGGCGAUCCUGUAGGAGGACCAGCAGUCUCAAUUCAUCUGGACCCCCGAGAUCUCUCAAACACUGGACCACCAAACAGACAGCAUACACCAGCUGGUUUGAGGCCACCAACACACAUACAGUAGAGGACUUCCAGUAUCACCAGCUGUGCGGACCAAAUGUUCAAAUGUAGGAGCCCAUGGAAGACUCAUUUAAACCACAACAGCUGGCUCUGAAGAAGAAGAAAAAAAAAAACUAAACUAGAAGUGGACACAUGUUCAACAAAACAUCAGUUAAAAAGAUCAACCACCUAGUGCAAAAGUAACAGACAUCAUGGUCAAGGCAACUCAUAGAAGACAGAGUUUACUUUGUGCAUAUCAUUUCAGCAUCAUCGAAUCCAUGACCUACUGUUCUAUCAGGAGCAUAGAUGGCAUCAGGAAGGCAGACAUGGAGCUGGAACAGUACCUAUGAGUUCACAUCUUGAGAACAUGGCAGAGACAAAUAACUUUUGGAAAAAUUCAGUGUGUGAAUUUGGAUCUCUCUCCUUCCAUACCUACCUAAGACAUGUUCUGUUUAGCUUUAAUCUUAUGGCAAAUUAGCUAGGCAGGAAAUAGAAGGUGGGACUUCCUGGGAGGAAGAAAUGAGGUCUGAGAAGACAGAGGAAGGCCUUUGUGCCAGGAUACGGACAAGACUACAGGCCUGGAAAGUACAGAAAGCCACAUGGCUGGAUAGGGCGAGGUGGUCGGGUUAACUUUGACAAACUACUUGAGAGUCUUCCCAGCUCA
rnacentral:lncRNA from 1 species